GACGUAGGGCGCGAGCGUUGUCCGGAUUUAUUGGGCGUAAAGAGCUCGUAGGCGGCUUGUCGCGUCGACUGUGAAAUCCCGCGGCUCAACCGCGGGUCUGCAGUCGAUACGGGCAGGCUAGAGUUCGGUAGGGGAGACUGGAAUUCCUGGUGUAGCGGUGGAAUGCGCAGAUAUCAGGAGGAACACCGGCGGCGAAGGCGGGUCUCUGGGCAGUAACUGACGCUGAGGAGCGAAAGCGUGGGGAGCGAACAGG
rnacentral:rRNA from 1 species